rnacentral:rRNA from 1 species
AUGAUUUUUCUAGGAUCACCUGAAGUGAAAUGCAGGGUCCAAAAUGUAUGUUUUUCUCUACAAAUGCUCAAGCGGUCAGCCCCAAUCAUGAUCUCGCUAUUAUGUCAAGCAGGACAAUCCCCUACUCUGAUGAAUCUUCCGGAGCACGUCGUUGAUGGAGGUAACCUGCUACUCAUCAGGCGCACACAUCUUCCUUUCGCUUGCUCAGAUGAUGGUGUCCACUUCGAAAUCACCACACCACACCACAUCAUUUCAGUUAGACAGACCUUAUCUUAUCAUGAAACCGGUGUCUUAUCCGCGAUGCUCUGCUCUGACAUGCUCGGAGCUCGUUGGGCUUUCUUUCAGUCGAAAUCACACCUUCUGUCCAAAGUUGCACUCAUGAUCACUUUCUUUCUGACGGUUGCUUUUGCACAUGUUUUGGCUCUACAUAUCCGUGGCCGAAGGACGAUGAAACCGUAUACCUACCUGAGACUGUUGAAUGCCACUGAACUUGAUCAUCCUUUGUUGGGUGGUAAAAGAUCACCGCUGCAGUGGCGGCAUCAGGUCCUCAGCGGCAUGAUACUAUGUGCUGAACCUGGGCGGCGACGGUUUGCGCUUGCGAGGUUCUUUUUCCGGGGAGUCUGGUAUGAGAUCCUGUGCGGUGUGCCUAUCAUGGCCGAAGCCAGCGCACCAUGCAAAGUUCAGGACGAUUGGUCCCUUGGAAUAAAUCUCGGUGGAUAUGAUAUGAUACCAUGCAUGCAAUGCAGCAGCAUAUGUUUUCUUCUUUUCAGCCCGGCUUUACUGAAAACCAGCCAGAGCUACCCGAAUGCAUAUUGUGGCUUUAAUCAUGGGAAUCAUAAUCCAAUUAUCCAGGAAGAAAAGGCAGCAGCGAUGCAUGCACUCUGA